CAUCUGCAGCAUCAACGCCUAAGGCACCCAACAACAGUUAAUCCAUCGGCAACCUCAAAAAUAUCCGAGCUUCUUUUAGAUUGCUGAGACAGAGAGCUAUUUCACUCCAAACAUCUCAACCGAGCUUCAGUCGUCCGGCCCGAACUCUCUGGCAAGUCAUGACAACGGACACCACUCUACUCCCUGUAACAAACUCCACGUGGCCCCAC
rnacentral:lncRNA from 1 species